rnacentral:rRNA from 1 species
GUACACUCCUGCGGGAGGCAGCAGUGGGGAAUAUUGGACAAUGGGCGCAAGCCUGAUCCAGCCAUGCCGCGUGAGUGAUGAAGGCCCUCGGGUUGUAAAGCUCUUUCACCGGAGAAGAUAAUGACGGUAUCCGGAGAAGAAGCCCCGGCUAACUUCGUGCCAGCAGCCGCGGUAAUACGAAGGGGGCUAGCGUUGUUCGGAAUUACUGGGCGUAAAGCGCACGUAGGCGGAUCGAUCAGUCAGGGGUGAAAUCCCAGGGCUCAACCCUGGAACUGCCUUUGAUACUGUCGAUCUGGAGUAUGGAAGAGGUGAGUGGAAUUCCGAGUGUAGAGGUGAAAUUCGUAGAUAUUCGGAGGAACACCAGUGGCGAAGGCGGCUCACUGGUCCAUUACUGACGCUGAGGUGCGAAAGCGUGGGGAGCAAACAGGAAUAGAUACCCCAGUAGUCCCAUGA